GUUGGCGAGCCAAAUGAGGUCAAUGGCCCUUCGGGUGUUGUCCGCUGCCUGUCUCUGGGGUAUAAAGCCCACCUGAUCGGGGUGUAUGAGUGAUCCCAGGUGUGGAUUUAGUCUGUUUGCCAUGACCUUGGUCAUGAGUCUGAGAUCAACAUUAAGCAGGGAGAUCGGCCUAUAGUGGGCAGGUUCUAGCUGGUCCUUUCCGGGUUUGGGGAGGAGGCAAAUGUGAGCCCUUGUCAUGUCUGGCGGGAGGGUUUCCCCCCUCAAUGUGGCGUUGAAUACUCUGCAUAGGUGGGGUAGUAGGAUAGGG